CACUAUGUAUGUGUACACACAAAUUCAUGCAUGAAAUCCGAGUAUGAAUGUUUUCACCAUCAUGAUUCUAUCAAAGCAGGAGUGCCCAUGACAGCCACCAGAGGGUACUCCACACAGAUCAUUGCCUACAGCCUUUGCUCUGUCUAUCAGGUCUCAUUGUUUCCAGCUGUGUCAUAAGCCUUGUUAGUUCCCUUAUUUAUACACUGUUUACUUAGCAUUGGGUGCUGUAGUAUUGCACUGUGUUUCUGUGUGGGCUUUGCUGACAUCUGCUUUUUAUAAUACCCUGUGCUGGUGCUCUGUCUUAUGUGACUCUUAUUUAAAGCUGCAUUUGGAUCUUUCGCAAAGUCCCAGAAUAUUCUGUCAUGGAUUCACCAAAAAAAUUCAUAAUUUUAAAAUGUAAAAUUCUAAUUUGUAAUGUAGGAACAACUGAAAUCCCAAGUAUGUAAAAGCAUGAUCAUGUUCUGUUACCUGCAGGAAAUGGACGUGAUCAUCUGUUUGUAAAAGUUGCUCCAGCUCAGCAUCUCUCCACUUCAGAUCAUCAAUGUCUUGUUGUAGUCGCAGCAAGAGUCCUUCAGCUCGACUCACUGCAGCCUCUUCCUGAGCUCUGAUCAACUGAACCACCUGAGAGCGGCUUCUCUCAAUGGAGCGGGUGAGCUGAGUAAAGCUCCUCUCGGUGUCGUCCACUGCUGCUUGUGCAGAGCGCUGUCAGACACCCAUCACAAUCAGCUCUUACUGCUGCCUCACAGCCUGAAAGACACGCUGUUACAGUGUCAUGGUUUUUAUGUUCGUCAAUCAAACACGGAAAACAGAUUAAUUGCUGGUCAGUACGACAAUAGAUUUCCAGCUGUUUGUUGUGUUUUGGGCAGAUCAUCUCAUGGAGUCGUCUAAUGGGAUCCAUCAGAUUGUGUCUCCUGUCUUUAAAGAGACGUCACACUCCACAUCUCCAGGUUCAGCUGUUUGGAAUGGUCACUGGAUCCUUCAGCAGAUCCAGACACACUGAGCAGCUGAACUGGUCCAGAGAGAAACUGGCUUCUGCCAUUUUAGUAUAUGUACAUACAAACAGAGAUGUGCAUACGACAGCUUGACGACACC